rnacentral:lncRNA from 1 species
CUCCUCUGUGGCACCUGAUGUGGCAACAGCAAGAGGUGUUUUUCCUGUCAUUGUCUUCACAAGGCCCGUGCACACAGUAUCUGUGGUAUCAAGAGAUGGAUUUUCAGACUCAUAAGCUCCUGUCCUCCUUCCAUGGCCUUUUCCUGGAUUGUCCUUCUUUAUCCAAUAUUUUUUUAAUAUUUAUUUUUUAGUUGUAGGUGGACACAAUACCUUUAUUUUAUUUUUAUGUGGUGCUGAGGAUCGAACCCAGUGUUUCACGCAUGCUAGGGGAGAGCUCUACAUCUGAGUCACAACCCAGCCCAUUUAUCCAAUCUUUUAAAGUCUGAUUUCUAAUUCUAGGAUUAGCUGAGAGGAGGGAUCUCAUAGUUCCUAUUUUAGACAAAUUCCUGCUGAUAUUCAUUUUCUGCUCUGCUUGUCUACCUCUCUCCCUGUCAUUAGCUCUAGUAAUUCUAGCACUGGCUCCAAUGUAAAUUCAAGUAUUUAUAAUUCAGAGCCUAAUUUAAUUUUUUUUGGUACCGGGGAUUUGAACCCAGGGGUACUUAACCACUAAGCCACAUCCCCAGCUCAUUUUUUAUAUUUAAAUUAGAGACAGGGUCUUGCUGAGUUGCUUAGGGCCUCACUAAGUUGCUGAGGUUGGCUUCGAACUCAUGUUCCUCCUGCUUCAGCCUCCCAAGCUGCUAGGAUAACAGGUGUGUGCCACCAUGCCCAGCCUUAAUUUAUAUUUAUUUGUAAAAUAGGACCUAUGAGCCAAGAAUUGUCAUUUCUGAAGGGAGAAAUGUACUUGUAUGCUGUGAAGUGCAGGUGGCCUUGUGUGUGUGUGUGAGAGAGAGACAAUAGCACUGUAACAAAAGACCAGACAGCCCUGACCUCAGUGUUAGAGGACCUUGUGCUGCAGUAGCCACUGAGCAGCACUUGACCUGAGGCUCCAUUAAAAAACAUAGUGUGUUAGAAGACAGAGGUGCUUUACAGUGAUCAUUCAUUCAGCUGAUAUUUGUUGUGUACUGGAUAUGUGACACGCUAUUUUUUUUUUGCAUGUGGGAACCUUAUUGAAGGAGAAAUAGAAAAAUUGCCUACCUUGUACAGCAUGUGUCAUAAUGGGAAGAGGCAGAGGAUACACUCUAGGCAGAGUAAGGAAAAUGUUGAUGUUAGAAGGUGGAAAGUAUUAUGGGAAAGGUGAUCCCAGUGUGUGGGGACAAGGAAGAUGACUGUUUUACUAAGAUGGUCAGCAUGGAAAUCACUGGGAAGGAGAUCUUUGAAGCUUUGAAGAAUACGAGGAAUCAUUCCUUGAGGGUGUCCAGAACAAUUUUUUUCCAGGCAGGAGAAACUUUAGGGCAAGUGCACUGGGGCAGGAGUGUAUCUACAUGUUCUGGGAAGAAUAAGGAAGUGGAGUGUCUGAAGCAGUCACUGAGAUUUGGAUGGUGGUUUAACCAGAUCAUGAGUCCUGGAGGAUGCUGGAAGAUUUUGUACUUUUUCUCUGAGUAAUAGGGAGUUGGAAGUCAGUUUGAGCAGAAGAGGACCACCAUGUGAUUUGUUUUGUAACAGAAAUGUGUUGUAAUAGGAACUGUGGUUUCUCUGCUGAGAAGAGAAUCUUGAGGUUGCAUAACUAGGUUGCAGCAAAACUGCAGGGGACUACUAGUGUUCUGUUUUGGAUGCAGACGUGGGUCCCCUCAGCAGAGAUGUGAGCAAUGAAAAUGGUGAGAGUGAUCAGAUCCUGGAUCUAUUUUGAAGAUGGACUUUUCAACAUUUCCUAAUGGACCGAAUCUGGAAUGUGAGAAAGGAGUCAAGGAGGACAUCAGUGAUUUUCGACUGUGGAAUAAGCUGGAAGACUAUGGAAGGGGCAUACUUGAGGAUAACUGAAGAUGGAGUCGUGGGUGCCGUGGGUGGAACAGGAGGGGUCAGAGUAUUGGGAAGAGAAGAUGAGGAAUGCCAGGGGUCACACACAAAUUUACUAACUGAAUUUGUUGGACCCUACUUUGCUACUGUAAUCAGAGCAAGGGCGGUGAAUGACCCCAGGUCCGGGUUGGAGGUCAUGACCCUUUCACAUCCCCCACAGGUAUCCCGGGUACAAGAUGCAAAAAUCCAUGCACCAGCAGCAAGUGGUGUUCUUCCACUUGGAGUUUCCUUAUUUGUGGAUGGAAUGAGGGAGGACCAUAUUCAUUUCUGGCAUUUCCAUCUGGAGUUUACUUUGCCUCAAAGGCUGAAGCAAUGAAAAAUAACUAUGUGAAUGGGAAACCUUUCCUUGAAAAAAGCUUUAAUAAACAUCUGGAGCUUGAAGAUGCUGUUGAGGCCUCUGAACCCCAAAGGAAAGCUUUGAAGGGAAAAUUACAGAAGAUAUUAUAGAAGUUGAGAUCUACAAUGAAACUGGAUUUAGGGGGCUUAUUCCAGCUGAAGUUAAGUAUUACUUAGAAGCCAUUGCAUAAUAAUAAAGUGACUGAAAAAUCCAGAACUUCAGAUAAUCUAUCUACUUACCAUGUUUAAGCUAUGUUUUGUUUUUCAGACUUUUGUAUACUUAUUUCUGCGUUGUUUCAUGAAGUUACACUUUCAUAAUAACACUUAUAAAUCAUAAUGAAUUAUUAAGUCCAAAAUAAAUAAAAUAACUUGCUCUAAAUCUAAUUUUUUUGUAAGCUCAUAGCUAGCUACAAAGCAAAAACCUAUGGUAUGUUNUCUCCAUUCUGUUCUAUACCCUUUUGCCAGUACCAUAUUCUAUUUGAUUAAUGUAUCUUUAUAAAAAAAUCUUAAAAUAGUAUUACAUAAUCUUCAGUGGUAUGUUUUCAUUAUAAUUCA